CGAGUGCCUCUAGGAGGAGAUGCUGGCAUCUCCUUUUUGAGGCCCUCUGUGUGUGGGUUUGUCUUUGGCUGGGGUGACAGGCAGGGGUAGGUCUGAUGGGCAACUUUGAGAUUUCUGUCAGUCCACACUGUCUCUCUUGCACAGCAGUUCUCUGAUCAGGUCAUAUUGCAACCCCUAAUCUCUUACCUCAGGUCUACCACCCUGUUCGUGUAACUGGAGGUCUAGCCCACAUCCAGCAGGGGUGCUGUGGAGUAGAAGGAGAAAAUCAGGCCUUGAAUCUUCCCUUCAGUAAAGGCAUAUUCUUCAGAGAAUAUACCAGGGUCCUAUGGUGGCUUGAACACCAGUAUUAAUUAAUCACCAGAGCUUUUGAGGUGGUUAUUGGUUCCAGUCCCCAGGGCAGAACCUUGAGGCCACCCUCUAGGGUAUCAGACCUUCCAAGAGUUAAGUCUCUCCUUCAAGGGUCCCUAGAGGAAACAAGUCAACCCUGGGGUACCUGGUCCCGAAUUGACUUCUGAGUCAAGGCAAACAAAGCUGUGGCCGCAGACCCAGACAGCCACCUCAACACGUGUAUGCCUCCUGAGGUCCUCCCUGGCCUUACUAUCUUGGGCUUUUAUUAGCCCUAAUUAAGCAAACAGAAAUGUGGCCAUGUCCUGGGCAUGUGACUGCUUUUUUCCUCAGCAGCUUAUUAGGCUUAUUUAAAAUGAUUGAUUUUCUUUCCUCAGCCAAGAAUCCUUCAACCCUUGGCUUGCAAGGGUGUGGUGGGGCCAGCCAUAAAAACCCGUAGCAGGUCUUUGGGAAAUCGAAUGUUUCAUGAGCUCCUAAACUAUUCACGCCCUUUGGCCAGAUAAUGACACUCUUGGAACUGUAGCCUGAGGAAGUGAUGUAAAUUGAGGAGAACAAGGCUGUGCACAUGAUGUUUAUGGCAGUGUUAUUUAUAAUGGAGGGAGGGGGGUGGCAGCAGGUGAGGUGUCAGUGUUAAUUAUAUUUUAGUUCAUUUCUUCCCUGGGUUAUUACCACUAAAAAGAGUCAUUAUGAAGAUAACGAAGCAUCACGACAAAAGCCCAUGAGUGGUGUAAAGAUGUAUUGAGGCUGUGGUCAGAACUCUGUAAAAAUUUUUGGCCUGUGGACAAGGAUAGUUGUAGAGUAUGGAAAAAUGACAACAGGUGGUUUAUUAGGAGGGCAGGGAUUCCAGGUGAUUUUCUUAAACGAUCAAUGAUUAUUUGA
rnacentral:lncRNA from 1 species